ACGUACGCUGGCGGCACGCCUAACACAUGCAAGUCGAACGAAGUAGUAAUACUUAGUGGCAGACGGGUGAGUAACAUGUAGGUAUCUGCCCUUUGGCCUGGAAUAACACGAGGAAACUUGUGCUAAUACCGGAUAAGUCUUUACGGAGAAAGCUUUAUGCACCAUUGGAUGAGCCUGCACUUGAUUAGUUUGUUGGUGGGGUAAUGGCCUACCAAGACUGUGAUCAAUAGCUGAUUUGAGAGGAUGAUCAGCCACAUUGGGACUGAGACACGGCCCAAACUCCUACGGGAGGCAGCAGUGGGGAAUCUUGCACAAUGGAGGAAACUCUGAUGCAGCGAUGCCGCGUGAGUGAAGAAGGCCUUUGGGUUGUAAAGCUCUUUCGUCGGGGAAGAAAAUGACUGUACCCGAAUAAGAAGGUCCGGCUAACUUCGUGCCAGCAGCCGCGGUAAUACGAAGGGACCUAGCGUAGUUCGGAAUUACUGGGCUUAAAGAGUUCGUAGGUGGUUGAAAAAGUUGGUGGUGAAAUCCCAGAGCUUAACUCUGGAACUGCCAUCAAAACUUUUCAGCUAGAGUAUGAUAGAGGAAAGCAGAAUUUCUAGUGUAGAGGUGAAAUUCGUAGAUAUUAGAAAGAAUACCAAUUGCGAAGGCAGCUUUCUGGAUCAUUACUGACACUGAGGAACGAAAGCAUGGGUAGCGAAGAGGAUUAGAUACCCUCGUAGUCCAUGCCGUAAACGAUGUGUGUUAGACGUUGGAAAUUUAUUUUCAGUGUCGCAGGGAAACCGAUAAACACACCGCCUGGGGAGUACGACCGCAAGGUUAAAACUCAAAUGAAUUGACGGGGACCCGCACAAGUAGUGGAGCAUGUGGUUUAAUUCGAAGAUACGCGCAGAACCUUACCAACACUUGACAUGUUCGUCGCGACUCUAAGAGAUUAGAGUUUUCGGUUCGGCCGGACGAAACACAGGUGCUGCAUGGCUGUCGUCAGCUCGUGUCGUGAGAUGUUGGGUUAAGUCCCGCAACGAGCGCAACCCUCACUUUUAGUUGCCAUCAUUAAGUUGGGCACUCUAAAAGAACUGCCAGUGAUAAGCUGGAGGAAGGUGGGGAUGACGUCAAGUCCUCAUGGCCCUUACGUGUUGGGCUACACACGUGCUACAAUGGCAUCUACAACAGGAAGCAAAACGGCAACGUUAAGCAAAUCCCGAAAAGAUGCCUCAGUUCGGAUUGCACUCUGCAACUCGAGUGCAUGAAGCUGGAAUUACUAGUAAUCGUGGAUCAGCGUGCCACGGUGAAUGCGUUCCCGGGUCUUGUACACACCGCC
rnacentral:rRNA from 1 species